GAUAAGUGGUGUUCAGCAUAUGAUUGCAGAACGAUUCUCUUGUCCAUCGAGAGCCUAUUAGGAGGUCAGAUGGCUCUGUUGUCUCACUUUUUCUGCUGGCUCUUUUGUAUGUAUUUAUGAGCUAUUAGGAGCUCUUUUGUCUCACUAUUAGGAGCUCUUUUGUAUGUAUUUAUGUAAUAGUUUUUCUUAUGCUCGCGUUGUAAUGAGCAGAACCCAAUACUCAGAGCCCUCUCAAUGUGUCUGCUGCUUUGCUCUGGAAGAACCAGGAAGGUUCAUAGAAUUUGCAUUUUGUUCUUGAACUCGAUCCAAUGGUGCGUAGUAUUGGAAAAUGUGGUUUUUACAAAUUCUGAUUGCAGAGUACAGAAAAGCAGUGCACAAAUAUUACAUGGAUACUGGAUAUUCAUUAGAUAACUGAUCAAAACAGCAAUAAUAAACUUCAAGAAGGAAGACCAUCUGAUCUAUCUAUGGAAAUAUUAGGCUUGGACAGUUAUUUCUUUCACUGAAAAA
rnacentral:lncRNA from 1 species